UUGACUACAGCCUUUCUCUGGGAAAGGGUCAUCGGCAUAAUCACUCCCAGCUGUCUCAGCCUUGUUUCCACCGUCAAUAUAAAUAUCUGAGACGGAAGAAGAUGACUAGACUCAAGCCCAGCCUAGACAGCUUUUGGAAAUUCAGGAUUUCUCAUCUGUCAACUGAGUUUGCUUACCUGAUAGAGCUGUUAUUAGGACCAUGAUCUAAGCUCUG
rnacentral:lncRNA from 1 species